UACGUAGGGUGCGAGCGUUGUCCGGAAUUAUUGGGCGUAAAGAGCUCGUAGGCGGUGUGUCACGUCGGCCGUGAAAACCUGCAGCUUAACUGUGGGCGUGCGGUCGAUACGGGCAUCACUGGAGUUCGGCAGGGGAGACUGGAAUUCCUGGUGUAGCGGUGAAAUGCGCAGAUAUCAGGAGGAACACCGGUGGCGAAGGCGGGUCUCUGGGCAGUAACUGACGCUGAGAAGCGAAAGCGUGGGGAGCGAACAGG
rnacentral:rRNA from 1 species